GUGGUGGGGGUUCGGUGGUAGAAUUCUUGCCUUCCAUGCAGGAGACCUGGGUUCGAUCCCCGGUCAGUGCC
rnacentral:tRNA from 1 species